rnacentral:rRNA from 1 species
ACUCCUACGGGAGGCAGCAGUGGGGAAUAUUGCACAAUGGGGGAAACCCUGAUGCAGCCAUGCCGCGUGUGUGAAGAAGGCCUUCGGGUUGUAAAGCACUUUCAGUAGGGAGGAAAGGGUGUAACUUAAUACGUUAUAUCUGUGACGUUACCUACAGAAGAAGGACCGGCUAACUCCGUGCCAGCAGCCGCGGUAAUA